rnacentral:rRNA from 1 species
CCUACGGGAGGCUGCAGUGGGGGAUAUUGGACAAUGGGGGGAACCCUGAUCCAGCGACGCCGCGUGAGUGAAGAAGUAUUUCGGUAUGUAAAGCUCUGUCAGCAGGGAAGAAAGAAAUGACGGUACCUGACCAAGAAGCCCCCGCGAACUACGUGCCAGCAGCCGCGGUAAUACGUAGGGGGCAAGCGUUAUCCGGAAUUACUGGGUGUAAAGGGAGCGUAGACGGUUAAGUAAGUCUGGAGUGAAAGGCCGGGGCCCAAACCCGGGACUGCUCUGGAAACUAUUGAACUUGAGUGCAGGAGAGGUAAGCGGAAUUGCGAGUGUAGCGGUGAAAAGCGUAGGUAUUAGGAGGAAAACCAGAGGCGAAGGCCGCUUACUGGACUGUACCUGACGUUGAGGCUCGAAAGCGUGGGGAGCAAACCGGAUUAGAUACCCUUGUAGUC